rnacentral:rRNA from 1 species
ACGGAAGGCAGCAGUGGGGAAUAUUGCACAAUGGGGGAAACCCUGAUGCAGCGACGCCGCGUGAGUGAAGAAGUAUCUCGGUAUGUAAAGCUCUAUCAGCAGGGAAGAAAAUGACGGUACCUGCCUAAGAAGCCCCGGCUAACUACGUGCCAGCAGCCGCGGUAAUACGUAGGGGGCAAGCGUUAUCCGGAUUUACUGGGUGUAAAGGGAGCGUAGACGGUUCUGCAAGUCUGAUGUGAAAGGCAGGGGCUCAACUCCUGGACUGCAUUGGAAACUGUAGAACUAGAGUGCCGGAGAGGUAAGCGGAAUUCCUAGUGUAGCGGUGAAAUGCGUAGAUAUUAGGAGGAACACCAGUGGCGAAGGCGGCUUACUGGACGGUAACUGACGUUGAGGCUCGAAAGCGUGGGGAGCAAACAGGAUUAGAUACCCUGGUA